UCCGGUGGCCAGGAAGCAGCCGGGGAUCGAACCGGCGCCGCAGAGGCCGCGGGUAGCUUCGCAACCCAGCGCUCAACCGCUGCGCCACCGGGGAGGCCCUGCUCUUGUUUUUUUUAGUUCUGGAGCAGAAGCCUGCAUGAGAUCAGCAUCCCAGCACAGCUGAGUUAAGUAACUGUUUAUAUUCAACAUGGGAAUUCUUUGCUCCUUGAAUGCCUGAAAUAAUUCCCUGGUUAAUGGACU